GAAAUCCCUCGGGAUGUAAACUUCGCAAGAACGGGAAGAAUAAGUAGGGGACAAUACCCCCUAUGAUGACGGUACCGUUUGUAAGCUCCGGCUAACUCCGUGCCAGCAGCCGCGGUAAUACGGGGGGAGCAAGCGUUGUUCGGAUUUACUGGGCGUAAAGGGCGCGUAGGCGGCCAGCACAAGUCAGUUGUGAAAUCUCCGAGCUUAACUCGGAAAGGUCAACUGAUACUGUGCGGCUAGAGUGCGGAAGGGGCAACUGGAAUUCUUGGUGUAGCGGUGAAAUGCGUAGAUAUCAAGAGGAACACCUGCGGCGAAGGCGGGUUGCUGGGCCGACACUGACGCUGAGGCGCGAAAGCUAGGGGAGCGAACGGGAUUAGAUACCCCGGUAGUCCUAGCCUUAAACGAUGAAUGCUUGGUGUCUGGGGUUAUAAAGUCCCCGGGUGCCGUCGCUAACGCUUUAAGCAUUCCGCCUGGGGAGUACGGUCGCAAGACUGAAACUCAAAGG
rnacentral:rRNA from 1 species